GGACAUUGUUAGAUUGUUCUUGUGGGAGAAGGAACACGAAGGCUUCUAUCUGACUGAUCGUAUCUUUCUUUGAUAAUAACUCGGGAGACGCUAACAGUUCCAGCUUUGCAGAUCUCAGAGUGUGAAUUUCUGUGUAUCGCCUCAUGCUCCUUGGAACAGUAAGAAAUCAUAUUGCACCGAUUACACGUUAUCAAGUCUCUGCUGUGCAGUUUGCAAACAUGACAAACGUUUGGAUUGAAAAACUGAUU